UACGUAGGGUGCAAGCGUUGUCCGGAAUUAUUGGGCGUAAAGAGCGUGUAGGCGGCCAGGUAGGUCUGCUGUGAAAACUCGAGGCUUAACCUCGAGAUGUCGGCGGAAACCAUCUGGCUAGAGUCCGGAAGAGGAGAGCGGAAUUCCUGGUGUAGCGGUGAAAUGCGCAGAUAUCAAGAGGAACACCUGAGGUGAAGACGGGUUGCUGGGCUGACACUGACGCUGAGUGCGCGAAAGCCAGGGGAGCAAACGGG
rnacentral:rRNA from 1 species